CAGCAGUGGGGAAUAUUGCACAAUGGGGGAAACCCUGAUGCAGCCAUGCCGCGUGUGUGAAGAAGGCCUUCGGGUUGUAAAGCACUUUCAGUAGGGAGGAAGGUAGUGUAGUUAACACCUGCAUUAUUUGACGUUACCUACAGAAGAAGCACCGGCUAAACUCCGUGCCAGCAGCCGCGGUAAUACGGAGGGUGCGAGCGUUAAUCGGAAUUACUGGGCGUAAAGCGCAUGCAGGCGGCCUGUUAAGUCAGAUGUGAAAGCCCGGGGCUUAACCUCGGAAUUGCAUUUGAAACUGGCAGGCUAGAGUCUUGUAGAGGGGGUAGAAUUUCAGGUGUAGCGGUGAAAAUGCGUAGAGAUCUGAAGGAAUACCAGUGGCGAAGGCGGCCCCCUGGACAAAGACUGACGCUCAGAUGCGAAAGCGUGGGGAGCAAACAGGAUUAGAUACCCUGGUAG
rnacentral:rRNA from 1 species